GUGCUCACUUCGGCAGCACACAGAGUAAAACCGGACCAAUAUAGAGAAGAUUAGCUUGUUUCCUUCUCAAGGAUGGCAAGCACAUUCAUGAAGCCGUCCAGAUUUUU